GACGAACGCUGGCGGCGUGCCUAAUACAUGCAAGUCGAGCGCAGGAAACUGACGGAACUCUUCGGAGGGAAGGCAGUGGAAUGAGCGGCGGACGGGUGAGUAACACGUAAGGAACCUGCCUCAAGGAUUGGGAUAACUCCGAGAAAUCGGAGCUAAUACCGGAUAGUUCAUCGGACCGCAUGGUCCGUUGAUGAAAGGCGCUUCGGCGUCACCUCGAGAUGGCCUUGCGGUGCAUUAGCUAGUUGGUGGGGUAACGGCCCACCAAGGCGACGAUGCAUAGCCGACCUGGGAGGGUGAUCGGCCACACUGGGACUGAGAAACGGCCCAGACUCCUACGGGAGGCAGCAGUAGGGAAUCUUCCACAAUGGACGAAAGUCUGAUGGAGCAACGCCGCGUGAGUGAUGAAGGUUUUCGGAUCGUAAAACUCUGUUGUAAGGGAAGAACACGUACGAGAGGGAAUGCUCGUACCUUGACGGUACCUUACGAGAAAGCCACGGCUAACUACGUGCCAGCCGCCGCGGUAAGAC
rnacentral:rRNA from 1 species